UACGGGGGGGGCAAGCGUUGUUCGGAAUUACUGGGCGUAAAGGGCUUGUAGGCGGCCAACUAAGUCCGACGUGAAAUCCCCAGGCUUAACCUGGGAACUGCGUCGGAUACUGGAUGGCUUGAAUUCGGGAGAGGGAUGCAGAAUUCCAGGUGUAGCGGUGAAAUGCGUAGAGAUGUGGAGGAAUACCGAUGGCGAAGGCAGCCCCCUGGGAUAACACUGACGCUCAUGCACGAAAGCGUGGGGAGCAAACAGG
rnacentral:rRNA from 1 species